rnacentral:rRNA from 1 species
UACGUAGGGCGCGAGCGUUGUCCGGAUUUAUUGGGCGUAAAGAGCUUGUAGGCGGUUUGUCGCGUCUGCUGUGAAAUUUCGGGGCUCAACCCCGAACUUGCAGUGGGUACGGGCAGACUAGAGUGUGGUAGGGGAGACUGGAAUUCCUGGUGUAGCGGUGAAAUGCGCAGAUAUCGAGAGGAACACCUGCGGCGAAGGCGGGUUGCUGGGCUGACACUGACGCUGAUGCGCGAAAGCCAGGGGAGCGAACGGG